rnacentral:lncRNA from 9 species
AGCCCCACAGGGCUCUGACGCCUCGGGCCGGGCCCUCUGACGCUCACUGUCAUUGCAGAGUCCCCCACCUGAGACCCGCCAGGAACAGGGUGAGGAAGGCAGAAGGCCACCCGAGGAACCUCCACACAGACUGCUCCCCGGGGUCCUCUGCCGGGCUGGUGGGGAGCACAGGAGCACCAGCUGUGGCCAUGAAGACACCGUCCACAUGAGCCUGACAACCCUGGAAGGCCUGGCACCCCCUGAGGCCCAGCCUGAAGGAGACCUGGAAUCCGAGGCCAAGACGCCAGCCGAGCCGAAAGACCCUGGAGCAGCCCCCAGAGGAGGUCCAGAACCACAGGAGGACUCAGCACCCGGGCAGGGAGGACCUCUGGCUCUUUCAGAGGGACGCCCACGUCCUCAUGGGGACUCACCUCCCGGGGAGGAUGAACCCUCUGCUCCUCUCCCAAGAGGCCCAGCUCCUCUUGAGGAGUCAACACCCGGGCAGGGUGGAACCAAGGCGCCGCCUGCAGGAGGACCAGGCCCCCAUGAAGACUCAGCUCAUGGGCAGGAUCAACCUGCUGCUCCUCCUGAAGGAAGACCAGAGCCUCAUGAGGUCUCACCUCCCAGGCAGGAUGAAAAUCCUGCUCUUCCUACAGGAGGACGAGGCUCUCAGGAAGACUCAGCAGCCGGGCAGGAUGAAAAUCCUGCUCCUCCUCCUGGAGGACGAGGAUCUCAGGAGGACUCACGAGCCGGGCAGGAUGAAAAUCCUGCUCCUCCUCCUGGAGGACGAGUCUCUCAGGAGGACUCACGAGCCGGGCGGGAUGAAAAUGCUUCUCCUCCUCCUGGAGGACAAGGCUCUCAGGUGGACUCACCAGCCAGGCAGAAUGAAAAUCCUGCUCCUCCUCCUGGAGGACGAGGCUCUCAGGAGGACUCAUCAGCCAGGAAGGAUGAAAAUCUGGCUAAUCCUCCUGGAGGACGAGGCCCUCAGGAUGUCUCACCAGCCGGUCAGGAUGAACAUUCUGCUCCUCCUACAGGAGGACAAGGCUCUCAUGAGGACUCAAGAGCCGGACCCGAUGAAAAUCCUGCUCCUCCUACAGGAGGACCAGGCUCUCAUGAGGACUCAAGAGCCGGACCCGAUGAAAAUCCUGCUCCUCCUGCUGGACUACGAGACUCUCAUGAGGACUCACUAGCUAGGCGGGAUGAAAAUCCUGUUCCUCCUCCUGAAGGACGAGGCUCUCAUGAUGUCUCACCAGCCGGGCAGGUGGAACAUCCUGCUCCUACUACAGGAGAACGAGGCUCUCAUGAGGACUCACCAGCUGGGCAGGAUGAAUACCCGGCUCCUCCUACAGGAGGACGAGGCUCUCAUGCAGAUGCACUGGCCCUGCCGGAUGAAUAUCCUUCUCCUCCUCCUGGAGGACGAAGCUCUCAUGAGGACUCAUCAGCCGGGCCCAAUGAAAAUCCUGCUCUUCCUCCUGGAUUACGAGGCUCUCAUGACGACUCAGCAGCCGUGCAGGAUGUAAAUCCUGUUCCUCCUCCUGGAGGACGAGGCUCUCAUGAGGACUCAGAAGCCAGGCAGGAUGAACAUCCUGCUCCUCCUCCUGGAAGACGAGGCUCUCAGGAGGACUCACGAGCUGGGAAGGAUGAAAAUCUUGUUCCUCCUCCUGGAGGACGAGGCUCUCAUGAUGUCUCACCAGCCGGGCAAAAUGAACAUCCUGCUCCUCCUACAGGACGAUGCUCUCAUGCAGACACACCAGCCCAGCAGGAUCAAGAUCCUGCUCCUCCUCCUGGAGGACGAGGCUCUCAGGAGGACCCCCCAACCGGGCAGGAUGAAAGUGCUGCUCCUCCUCCAGUUGGACGAGGCUCUCAGGAGGACUCACCAGCCGGACAGGAUGAAAAUCCUGCUCCUCCUCCUCGAGGACGAGGCUCUCAGGAGGACUCACGAGCUGGGU